AUUGAACGCUGGCGGCAGGCCUAACACAUGCAAGUCGAGCGGUAGAGAGAAGCUUGCUUCUCUUGAGAGCGGCGGACGGGUGAGUAAUGCCUAGGAAUCUGCCUGGCAGUGGGGGAUAACGUUCGGAAACGGACGCUAAUACCGCAUACGUCCUACGGGAGAAAGCAGGGGACCUUCGGGCCUUGCGCUAUCAGAUGAGCCUAGGUCGGAUUAGCUAGUUGGUGGGGUAAUGGCUCACCAAGGCGACGAUCCGUAACUGGUCUGAGAGGAUGAUCAGGCACACUGGAACUGAGACACGGUCCAGACUCCUACGGGAGGCAGCAGUGGGGAAUAUUGGACAAUGGGCGAAAGCCUGAUCCAGCCAUGCCGCGUGUGUGAAGAAGGUCUUCGGAUUGUAAAGCACUUUAAGUUGGGAGGAAGGGCUGUAAAUUAAUACUUUGCUGUUUUGACGUUACCGACAGAAUAAGCACCGGCUAACUCUGUG
rnacentral:rRNA from 1 species